CAAAACCAUUUGGCCCCUGUGAAGGACAUAUAUUGAGAACAGAAGGCGCCAGUGUGCCAUUGCCCACAAAGAUCACUAAAAAGCAUCAAAUAUUAUCGCCUAGGAUCAUUUGUACUAGUAACCGGAGAUACCUGCAUGCAGACUUUUCACUCCUGCAUUUGGAAAUGGUUAUCUGUGAGCCUUGGGCUGCUGCCCUUCCUGUGAAAUGAAUAAUCUGUUCCUUUUGCGAUUUUGGGAUAACUUUGAGGGGCUGAUUCCGUAUGGUAGCGUCUAGUUACCCUUCGUGGAGAGGACCUUUCCCAUAAAUCCCUGAGCCCAUGUCAACAACUAUUUGGAAAAGUAACCUGUGGCGAUCGAAGCAGAACAAGACACCGAGCCCGAAGCGUGGCAAGCGAAGCGAGCCUGCGAGAGUACAAUGGUGCAGAGAUACAACAAAAUAACCUCAAACGGAGAAUGGAUAAAACAUUAACGUGCUGUAAAGGCGGUAGUUCUCUACUACAGUACUUCUAUAUGGAGGGGGGAUAUUUUAGAAUGAUCAUGCAGUGAACACCUGGAAUAUUCAAGUGUCUCACCAUCUAGAAUGUUACGGUUUAUUUCCAUAUCCACGUGUUAUGGCCAAGUUCCCUAUUAAUUGAGGGUAUCCAAUACCUCUAAAAACGACUUUUAUUCAAGUCAGCAACACCAAAAUACCUUAAAUUCGGUCAAAUAUCCUUGCCAACGAAACUAUUUUUACGUUGUUUGCGGUGUUAUUAUGUGAUAUGGCUCAUUGUUUAGAAUAGAUUCCCUAAUACACACUCUCUCUCUAUGGGGUCAGUUUAGUUGACAGGUAUGUGUUAGGAAAUUGGGGAUCCCAUAGUAAACCCAAGCAAACAUGGGGCAAACACAGAAACUACACACGUGUAUAUAUAUAUAUAUAUAUAUAUAUAUACACACACACACACAAUACAGAGAGGGGAAGGAAGGAAGGAAGGAAGGAAGGAAGGAAGGAAGGAAGGAAGGAAGGAAGGAAGGAAGGAAGGAAGGAAGGAAGGAAGGAAGGAAGGAAGGAAGGAAGGAAGGAAGGAAGGAAGGAAGGAAGGAAGAGAAAGAAAAGAAGGAGAAAAAAAAAAGUUUGUCCUCAUUCCAUUCAGAAAUAUAACCACUGAAUUCAUAUUCUGUGCCCGAGGGAAGAUGGUGGCGAUUCUGGGCCUGAUUCAGAGUGGGAUGUAGAUUCCAGUUUCCUCCCACUCUCAGAACAUCCAAGCAGUAGCAUUUGCAUUCUUUCACAGUUGUCCACAGUUGCGUUAUCACCUUUAAGGCCAGUACUCACGGCCCGAUGCAGGAGAGAUGUGUGCUCAGCGAACCACUCAGCACACAUCUCUCCCGGCGCUCAGCACAGCGCGAUGUGUGCUGAGCGUGCGGGGGAGACGGGGGGGGGGGACGCCCAUUUCACCCAGCGGGUGAAGUGAGCGACCCACUAGAUUGGCCUGCAUGCAGGCCAAUCUAGCAGCAGCGAUAGCGAUGCGCCGGGCUGCGCAUCGCUAUCGCUGUUAGGGCUACACACGGAGCUAUCGUGCUGAAAAUCUAAUCUAGUCAGAUUGCUUAGAUUAUCGCUCCGUGUGUACCCCCCUUAAGUCAAAUGAAUCUGAAACCACUUUUCCUUGGUGGCCAUGGCAGUCUACGAUAUGCUAAUGCGAGUACCCACAGUUAUGUCAUCAUUAGUAUCAGAACUUACACCCUUUCCCAUGCUGGGUGUAUAAAAAUAAAUCCGAAACAGCAGUGGCAAAUUUCCUAUUAGGCACAUGCCUAGGGACGGCACCUGUUUAGGGGCGACACUUGGAUGCUUGUGUCGGUACUGUCAGCCCAAAAAGUACCAGUAACUGCUAAAUAUUUCCACUGUACUGUAUGUACAUAUGCCAUCUUGAGUGGGGUGUAAACGGGUAGGACAUGCACAUACUGCCCCUGUAAGCUGUCCUACUUAAUAAAUAUGUACACAAAUAAAUAAAAUGUAAAAAAUA